ACGGGAGGCAGCAGUGGGGAAUUUUGCGCAAUGGGGGAAACCCUGACGCAGCAACGCCGCGUGCGGGAUGACGGCCUUCGGGUUGUAAACCGCUUUCAGCAGGGACGAUUAUGACGGUACCUGCAGAAGAAGCUCCGGCUAACUACGUGCCAGCAGCCGCGGUAAUACGUAGGGAGCGAGCGUUAUCCGGAUUCAUUGGGCGUAAAGCGCGCGUAGGCGGAUGCCUAAGCGGGACCUCUAAUCCGAGGGCUCAACCCCCGGCCGGGUCCCGAACUGGGCGUCUCGAGUUAGGUAGGGGCAGGCGGAAUUCCAUGUGUAGCGGUGAAAUGCGCAGAUAUAUGGAAGAACACCGAUGGCGAAGGCAGCCUGCUGGGCCUCAACUGACGCUGAGGUGCGAAAGCGUGGGGAGCGAACAGGAUUAGAUACCCUGGUA
rnacentral:rRNA from 1 species